GACGAACGCUGGCGGCGUGCUUAACACAUGCAAGUCGAACGGUGAAGCGCCUUCCUUUUUGGUGGGUGUGGAUGAGUGGCGAACGGGUGAGUAACACGUGAGUAACCUGCCCCCUUCUUCUGGAUAACCGCAUGAAAGUGUGGCUAAUACGGGAUAUUCUGGGUCUGUCGCAUGAUGGGUCUGGGAAAGAGAUUGUUUCGGUGGGGGAUGGGCUCGCGGCCUAUCAGCUUGUUGGUGGGGUGAUGGCCUACCAAGGCGGUGACGGGUAGCCGGCCUGAGAGGGUGGACGGUCACACUGGGACUGAGGCACGGCCCAGACUCCUACGGGAGGCAGCAGUGGGGAAUAUUGCACAGUGGGCGCAAGCGUGAUGCAGCGACGCCGCGGGAGGGAUGGAGGCCUUCGGGUUGUGAACCUCUUUCGCCAGUGAAGCAGGCCUGCCUCGUUUGUGGGUGGGUUGACGGUAGCUGGAUAAGAAGCGCCGGCUAACUACGUG
rnacentral:rRNA from 1 species